CCCAGACUCCUACGGGAGGCAGCAGUGAGGAAUAUUGGUCAAUGGCCGGAAGGCUGAACCAGCCAUGCCGCGUGAAGGUCAGUGCCCUAUGGGCGUUAAACUUCUUUUGUGCGGGAGCAAUAAUGGUCACGUGUGGCCAGACGAGAGUACCGUACGAAUAAGCAUCGGCUAACUCCGUGCCAGCAGCCGCGGUAAUACGUAGGUGGCAAGCGUUGUCCGGAUUUACUGGGUGUAAAGGGCGUGUAGCCGGGCCGGCAAGUCAGAUGUGAAAUCCCAAGGCUCAACCUUGGAACUGCAUUUGAAACUGUUGGUCUUGAGUAUCGGAGAGGCAGGCGGAAUUCCUAGUGUAGCGGUGAAAUGCGUAGAUAUUAGGAGGAACACCGGUGGCGAAGGCGGCCUGCUGGACGACGACUGACGCUGAGACUCGAAAGCGUGGGGAGCAAACAGGAUUAGAUACCCGUGUAC
rnacentral:rRNA from 1 species